CCUACGGGAGGCAGCAGUGAGGAAUAUUGGUCAAUGGACGGAAGUCUGAACCAGCCAUGCCGCGUGCAGGAAGACGGUUUUAUGAGUUGUAACUUGUUUUUGUACAAGGGUUAAUCUGAAUACGUGUAUUCUGCUGAACGUACUGCACCAAUCAGGAUCGGCCAAUUCCGUGCCAGCAGCCGCGGUAAUACGGAGGAUCCAAGCGUUAUCCGGACGUAUUGGGUUUAAAGGGUGCGUAGGCGGAUUGGUAAGUUAGAGGUGAAAUGUCCGAGCUUAACUCGGGAACUGCCUGUAAUACUGUGGAUCUAGAGAGUAGGUGCGGUAGGCGGAAUGUAUGGUGUAGCGGUGAAAUGCGUAGAGAUCA
rnacentral:rRNA from 1 species